CCCCUAGUAACUGCGAGUGAAGCGGGAAAAGCUCAAAUUUGAAAUCCGACUGUUCCGCCGUCCGAGUUGUAUUCUGGAGAAGCGUUUUCCGUGCCGGACCGUGUACAAGUCCCUUGGAACAGGGCGUCGUAGAGGGUGAGAAUCCCGUCUUUGACACGGACCACCGGUGCUAUGUGAUGCGCUCUCGAAGAGUCGAGUUGUUUGGGAAUGCAGCUCAAAAUGGGUGGUAAAUUCCAUCUAAAGCUAAAUAUUGGCGAGAGACCGAUAGCGAACAAGUACCGUGAGGGAAAGAUGAAAAGCACUUUGGAAAGAGAGUAAAACAGUACGUGAAAUUGUUGAAAGGGAAACGCUUGAAGUCAGUCGCGUCUGCCGGAACUCAGCCUUGCUUCUGCUUGGUGCACUUUCCGGCCCGACGGGCCAGCAUCGGUUUUGGGCGGCGGACACUGGCGUGGGGAAGGUGGCAGCUCCGGCUGUGUUAUAGCCCCUCGUCGCAAACGUCGUCCGGGACCGAGGAAUCCGGCGCAAGCCUGGGAUGCUGGCGUAAUGGCUUUAAACGACCCGUCUUGAAACACGGACCAAGGAGUGCUACGUGCUCGCGAGUGUUUGGGUGGAAAACCCGGACGCGCAAUGAAAGUGAAAGUCGAUACCCCUCGCGGGGGCACCGACGCCCGAGCCCGAUGUUUUCGGAGGGCCUUGCGGUAGAGCGAGUGCGUUGCGACCCGAAAGAUGGUGAACUAUUCCUGAGGAGGGCGAAGCCAGAGGAAACUCUGGUGGAGGCUCGUAGCGGUUCUGACGUGCAAAUCGAUCGCAGGACUUGGG
rnacentral:rRNA from 1 species